UUCACAGUGUGUCAGUUUGAAACCGUUUGGGAGCGUAAAAUAGCAACAAGUGGGGGACAGCGCACAAUCACAGCUACAGACAACACUACAAGAAGACAUUAUUAUUAUUUUUAUUAUUCAUAAUGAUUUAGUGCUCAACAAGUAUUUACCUCAGACAUAUGCUUACGUUUACAUUAGCAGUAAUAUAUAAGCAUAUCAUAAGUUAAAAACAGAAGUAGCGGUUCGCAAUAUUUGUGAAUGAGCUUUGCUAACUGGAGCAACAUGAGUGAUCAGGACUCCUUUGGCAUUCUGGACUCUGAGUUUGAUCAUUACCUGGUCGACAUGAAGCCGUAUGUGCUUAAACUGCCACACAAGACAGAGCGGCAGCGGUGUGCGCUGUGGAUUAAAAAGCUGUGUGAUCCUGUGACUUGUGGCUCUGGACUGACUGGAAGGAAGAAUCGUAACAUGCACGCCCGACUGCUUCUGCACAUGCUCAGGAAAGGAGUUUUAGAGGGUCCCUUUACCCACAAACCUGAAGCGGGCAGCCUCAAGACUCUACCCACGUACAUGUCCAUCUAUUUUGACGAGCCGCUGUUGGGAAGCUCACAGCAGGAGCAGAAGUCUGCAGACCUGCCCGACUGGGUGUCUGGUGAGUUGGGUCAGGCUGAUGGCACAUGGUCCACCUCACCCCUCUCAAACACACACAGGAAGUUGCUCAGCGAUAAGUCACCAGCUAGACCCUUGUCCUCAAGUCCCGUCAAACGCAGUAUCAAGGAUGAUGUCAAGAUGGCGGAGGCACACAGGAGGCCGCCCAUCUCCUCUGAUGAUAGCGACUUUGAGGCUCGCUUCAACAGCUGGAACCUGGGGAUAGAAAACCCCAGAUAUCUGCGUGAGAACCCUGUCCCUCUGUCUCCAAUUUACAACAAAUCAAGUCUGGGGAAAAACAGAACUCUUUUUGAUGAGGCCACCCCAGUGAAAGCCGAUAAGGAGGUUGAGUUGAGGACUAAAGUCUUGGAGGCCAAACAUCAGGAGGAUACACUGAGAAUGCAGCAGAAACAUGAUGCAGAGAUUCAGAAGAUUUUGGACCGAAAGAAUGGCGAGAUCGAUGAGUUGAAGAGCAUGUAUCGUGGGAAGCAGAAGGAGGCAGAUGAGACGGUUCGGAGGCUGGAAAAGAGAGUUCAAAGCCUGCUGCGAGAGUCCCAGGUCAUCCGACAGACCAAAGAGAAACAGAUCAGCGAGCUGAAGAAAAUGUCUGAUCAAAGUGCUGAAUCUCUGAAAAACGAAUGGGAGAAGAAGUUCCAUGCUGCGGUGGCGGAGAUGGAACAGGAGAAGUUUGAGCUGCAGAAGAAGCACACAGACAACAUCCAGGAGUUGCUGGAGGACACCAACCAACGACUCGCCAAGAUGGAGGCCGAGUACAGUGGCCAGACGCAGGCCACCGAGCAGAUGGUGCAUGAGCUGGAGACACGGGUGAAGCAGCUCUCGGUAGAGGUGGAGAACGGGAACCUGCUUCGGCAGAAGGUCACACAGGAGAAAGCCGAGUUAGAGAUUCAUAUCGCUUCCAUCAGCGCUGAGCUACAAGAGGCCAACCGCAGGACUGUGUCCCUGCAGAGGGAGAUGGAGCAGAUGAGAGACCAGCAUGAAGACACACUGCAGAAACUUCAGGCCAGACAUAACGCUGACGUGAGCCACUUCCAGCAGGAGCACAGCCUCUCUGCAGCCAAGGCAUCAGAGGUGAUUGAGGAUUUGGAACAGACUGUGAUUCACCUCAAACAGCAGAUACAGGAAACUGAAAACAGGAGACAGAGACAGCUCAGGGACCAAGAAAAUAAGAUGCGGCAAGAGAUAACAGACCUGCAAAACAGCACUGACAAAAAGCUGCAGACGCUUCAGGCCGAACUGGAAAAGGAACGAGUCGAUAGCAAGAGGAAGAUGAGCAAGAUGGAGGACUCACUCAGGGAUAAAGAAGAGCAGCUAGUUCGUCUUCGGGACAGUCAGAGACAUCAGGCCCAGCAGGCUGAGAGCGCACUGGAGAACUUUAAGAAGCAGGUGGAGCUCAGCUCGGAGAAGACCUACACUGACAUGAAGCAACAGAUGGAGAAAGUAGAGGCUGAUCUGAUUCGCUCUAAAUCUCUACGAGAGAAGCAGUCUAAAGAGUUCAGUUUCCAGCUGGAGGAGCUACAGCGAAGAUACGAGCAGCAGAUUGUGGAACUGAAACUGCAGCAUGAACAGGAGCGGACGCACCUACUCCAGACACACAAUGCCGAGAAGGACAGCCUGGUCCAGGACCACCAGCGGGAAAUCGAUAGUUUGGACAAGCAGGCGAGGGCCGCCAUGGUCCAGCAGCAAACGCAAACCCAGGAGUGGAGGAAGCGCGACGCUCAGACCAUCUCUGAUCUGGAGGCCCAGGUGCAUUCUCUAAGGAAGGAGCUACUGGCAGCCCACAGUCAGAGGAAACAGCAGCUGAUGGAGUUGGGUGUACUGCGGGAGGAGGAGCGACAGCGGGCCGCUCAGGACCAGCAAGUAGCUCUGGACCGCCUGCGGGCCGAGAUGGAUCAGGUGCGGCAGGACCUGGAAAGAACCCACAAGUCUGAAAGAGAGCUGGCCCAAGAGAAGACCAACAGCAGGAUAAAGCAUCUUGAGAAGGAAUAUAAUCAGAAGCUGGCCAAGUCUACACAGGUGAUCGCUGAGCUGCAGACGUCUCUGAGCAACACCAAGGAAGCCAGCCGGCAGACGCAGCAGGGUCUAGAGAGACAACUACAGGAAACACAGAGCCGCUGGGACGAGGAGAGGAGACAACUCAACAGAGAUGCUGACCAAACCAACAAGGUUCUUCAGGAACGUGCGGAGGCUCUACAGAGACAGCUGCAUGCCGUUGAGAAGAAGUUGAUGAGCCGCGAGUUGGAAUACCAGGAGCAGAUCACACAUGUCCGUCAGGACUGUGAGUUGAAGAUCAAAGGCCUGAUGCCUGCAGAGCUGCAACAGGAGCUGGAGGACACCAUCACCUCGCUUAAGUCACAGGAAAAUCGUCGCAGAACAAUGUACAUUCUUUUCAGGCUCAUACAAAAUUUAAAAAGCCAGAAUUCACCAAGUGUAUUCCUCUAAGAGGUCAACUUCCUGCAGAAGAGAGCAUCAAUCUUACAGGAGCAACUAGAUGCUGGCCACAUCAGGAGGUAGUGGAUGAUAUUAGGCUAUUAAUAUGUCCUCAUGCAGACUUGUAAGGGAGCCGUCCCGAUACACACCCGCCCAUCCUCAUCCUCACUCACUGCUGCUUCCACGCUGAACUCUUCGAUGUGCCACAUUUUUUAAGCCAUAUUUAUGUACCAAGUCAUUGUAUUUAUCUUUAUUUUUUGUUGUUGAAUUCAUUUUUGAUUAAAACGUUCAUCUGUGAAAUUUAUCAAUUGUUUUUAUUAUCAUCAUUAUUAUUAAAUAGUUUCUUAAAUUCCA